rnacentral:sRNA from 1 species
CCUUUCGAUAUUCUCUAUAAUAGUAUUGAGCACGAAAACAAUUCGAAAAUUCUAAAGAACACUAAAAAAAACACUCUUAGAUACACUCUCUUACACUCUCUUAAAUAAGUUUAAAUAAGUAAAAAUAGUAAUAGUAGAAACAGAAUUAUUCACAAAGUCAAUAUAAGGACAAAAAGGAUGUUCCUACUUAUGAAUCACAUCACAUUCCGACUUAACUAAUUUAAGUUUUUCACAUUUUGCGGGUCGGCGUGAGCCUGUGCCUUAUGCUGCCUAUUGAAAUACGGAUUUUUGGUAUGAGAGGAUGUACGCCUAACAUUAGGCAUAACAAAUAAAUAUUUUAACGCGUGAAACAAACAAGAGCCUCGUAGGAGUUACUAGAAUCUGGUCGGAUACGGGUAGAAAAACUUCAUCCACGCUGUUAUCUAAAAACGUGUUGAACUUUAUGAAAGCUAAAUUUACGAAAUUUUUUUAACUCAAAGAGUAUAUAAACUAAAGUUAUAUCAUGUUA